UUUCUAAGAAGGGUGAAAAUAACUGCCCGUGGUGGAAAAGUAUGAUUGAGAAAUGGUAAAAAGAACUACACAUAUUGAUUUAAAGGAGAAGUUGUCUUGGUAAAUGUAACAAUGAUAUGGGCAGUUCUGAGGUAAUUUUUCUAAGAAGGGUGAAAGUAACUGUCCGUGGUGGGAAAAGAUGAUUGACAAAUGGUGAAAAGAACUACACAUAUUGAUUUAAAGGAGAAAUUGUCUGGGUGAAUGUAAGAAUGAUAUGGGCAGUUCUGAGGUAGUUUUUCUAAGAAGGGUGAAAAUAACUGCCCAUGGUGGAAAAGUAUGAUUGACAAAUGGUGAAAAGAACUACACAUAUUGAUUUAAAGGAGAAGUUGUCUGGGUGAAUGUAAGAAUGAUUAGGGCAGUUCUGAGGUAGUUUUUCUAAGAAGGGUGAAAGUAACUGUUCAUGGUGGGAAAAGUAUGAUUGACAAAUGGUGAAAAGAACUACACAUAU